AUGCUAAUACCGGAUAACAAACAGAUGAUGCCUAUCAACUGUUUAAAAGAAUGGUUCUGCUAUCACUCUUGGAUGGACCUGCGGUGCAUUAGCUAGUUGGUAGGGUAACGGGCCUACCAAGGCGAUGAUACAUAGCCGAGUUGAGAGACUGAUCGGCCACAUUGGGACUGAGACACGGCCCAAACUCCUACGGGAGGCAGCAGGC
rnacentral:rRNA from 1 species